rnacentral:lncRNA from 13 species
AUGGACGUACUUCCUGUUCUUCCUUUGUGCCGGACCCACUUCCUGUGUUUCGCCUGUGCACGACACAUUUCCUGUUGGUCUUCUGAGACAGACAUACUUCCUGUUUUCCUCUGUGCAAGACACACUUCCUCUGUUUCUCCCGUGCAGGACACACUUCCUGUUGCUCUUCUAAGACAUACCUACUUCCUGUUUUUCCUCUGUGAAGGACACUUCCUGUGUUUCUCCUGGGCAGCACACACUUCCUGUUGCUCUGAUGAGACAAACCUACUUCCUGUACUUUUGCUGUUCAGGACUGACUUCUUGUGUUUCUCCUGUGCAGGACACACUUCCUGUUGCUCUCCUGAGUCAGGCGUACCUCCUGUUUUUCUUCUGUAUACAACACACUUUCUGUGUGUCUCCCGUGCAGGACACACUUCCUGUUGCUCUCCUGAGACAGACCUACUUUUCAUUUUUUCUCUUUGUAGGACACACUUCCUGUGUUUCUCCAGUGUAGGACACACUUCCUGUUGCUCUCCUGAGACAGGCGUACUUACUCUUCUUUUUCUGUGCAGGACACACUUCCUGUGUUGCUCCAGUGCAGGACAUACUUCCUGCCGCUCUCCAGAAACAGACGUACCUCCUGUUCUUCCUCACUGCAGGAAACACUUCCUGUGUUUCUUUUGUGCAGGACACACUUCCUGUCACUCUCCCGAGACACACGUAGUUUCUAUUCUUCCUCUGUGUGGGACACACUUCCUGUGUUUCUCCUGUGCAGGAUACACUUCUUUUUUUUCUCCCGAGACAGACCUACUUUCUUUUCUUCCUCUGUGCAGGACACACUUUCUGAGUUUCUUCUGGGCAGGACACACUUCCUGUUUCUCUCCUGAGACAGACGUACUUCCUGGUCUUCCUCCAUGCAGGACACACUUUCUGUGUUUCACCUGUGCACAACACAUUUCUUGUUGCUCUUCUGAGACAGACAUACUUCCUGUUCUUCCUCUGUGCAAGACACACUUCCUGUUGCUCUCCAGAGACAAACAUACCUCCUGUUCUUCCUCACUGCAGGAAACACUUUCUGUGUUUCUCCUGUGCGGGACACACUUUUUGUCACUCUCCCGAGACACACGUAGUUCCUAUUCUUUCUCUGUGCAUGACACACUUCCUGUGUUUCUUCUCUGCAGGACACACUUCCUGUUGCUCUCCUGA